CGCGUUAUAACGCUGCUCCUGCGCUCCGGCGAUGUGACUGCCCAUGGGAUCCAAAUCUCUCUCUUUGUUUCCCACGUCCCGCAAAACACUUUCUAAAAUUCCCAACUGUAUUUUGUGACAGAAAACAUGUAUAUAAAUAAGCUCAGGAAUCAGACAAGACAGUGGAAUCCUAAACCUUUUGAACUGUUCUCUGAUCCAAAAGAAACGCAAUUUGUCUGCAAUUGAAAAAGCAGGUCAAGAUGGGUGAGAAAGGGCAGACAAUUAUGAUGGCGUUGACGGCCUUUUUCUUUCUGGGUAUGUUCGCAACUUUCCCUGCAGGCUGUUUCUCAGACUCCAAUCAGCACCCUCAGAGCAAGAAAAAGUCCGUCCACCUCGCAUCCCCUAAUCGCUUUGGCUCUUCAGUUAUUUUUCCUGUUCAAGGAAACGUUUAUCCUCUUGGGUACUACUUUGUAACCCUCAAGAUAGGCCAUCCGCCUAAGCUGUACGACCUUGAUAUUGAUUCUGGCAGUGACCUCACUUGGGUCCAAUGCGAUGCACCUUGUACCGGUUGCACCAAGCCCCGUAAUCGACUUUAUAAACCGAACAAUAACGUUGUCACUUAUGCAGAUCCUGUGUGCGCUGCCAUGCGCUACCCGGGAAACCAGAAGGCGAAGGACCCUAAUGAGCAGUGCGACUAUGUGGUCACAUAUGCUGAUCAUGGAUCUUCCCUUGGUGUGCUGGUCAAGGACUACUUUCCCCUUCGCUUUACCAAUGGCUCCAUCAUUGGUCCCCGUUUGGCCUUUGGGUGUGGAUAUGACCAAAAAUAUUCGGGGCCGCACUCUCCACCAUCCACAGCGGGAGUCUUGGGCCUCGGCAAUGGUAAAGCAAGCAUAGUGUCACAAUUGCAUACUAUGGGUUUAACACGGGAUGUAGUAGGCCACUGUUUAAGUGGACGACGGGGAGGAUUCUUAUUCUUUGGAGAUGACCUUGUCCCUUCUUCAGGAAUCAUAUGGUUGCCAACUUCACGCAAUUCUCCGGAGUACCACUACACAUCAGGACCAGCUGAACUUCUUUUUGGUGGAAAGUCUACUGGGGUAAAUGGUCUCCUCGUUGUCUUUGACAGUGGAAGUUCUUAUACAUACUUCAAUUCCCAAGCUUACCGAGCCACAGUCAAUCUGCUGACAAAAGAAUUAAAUGGAAAGCCAUUGAAGGAUGCACCAGAGGACCAAUCACUCCCAAUCUGCUGGAAAGGCACAAAGCCUUUCAAAUCUGUUGGUGAUGUCAAGAACUACUUCAAGCCUUUAAUACUGAGCUUUACACAUGCCAAGAAUGUUCAGCUACAAUUAGCACCUGAAGCAUAUCUUAUUGUUACAAAACAAGGCAAUGUAUGCUUGGGAAUUUUGAAUGGCACCGAAGUAGGACUCAAGAAUCUAAACAUAAUUGGAGACAUAUCUUUGCAAGACAAAAUGGUGAUUUAUGACAAUGAAAAGCAGCAAAUUGGAUGGACUCCUGCAAAUUGUGAGAGGCUUCCAAGUGCGGAUCGUGAUUCUAGUGAAGGUUUUUCUCAUCAUUAUGCACUUAUUCUACCUGAGGAUUUCCCUGCAACUUAUGCUUCAUGAGAAGAUCAAUAAGUGGCUAGCAAAAAGCUUCAAGGCAGAAGAAUAGGCAAAAAUAACAAGUUCAAGUGCCAAACAGCUUCCUUGGCGCUAUGCGUUAUGCUCUACAAGCUCCACCAGAAGAACGCACUAUCGUGCAAUACGAUACGAAGCUCUGACUUCUCCUUUUUCAAGAGCUCCAUGCUUCCCCAACUAACAACAUGAGAUUGUAAUCCUCAGCAACAUCUUCAACUUAGAGUCCUCUACAGUGUACCCCUACUAAACGAUCUAUUUAGUCGACAAUUCCAGAAACCACCUUUGUGACAACUUUUUUAUUGC